rnacentral:rRNA from 1 species
UACAGAGGUCUCAAGCGUUGUUCGGAUUCAUUGGGCGUAAAGGGUGUGUAGGUGGCGCGCUAAGUCGGGUGUGAAAUUUCGGAGCUUAACUCCGAAACUGCAUUCGAUACUGCCGUGCUUGAGGACUGGAGAGGAGACUGGAAUUUACGGUGUAGCAGUGAAAUGCGUAGAGAUCGUAAGGAAGACCAGUGGCGAAGGCGGGUCUCUGGACAGUUCCUGACGCUGAGGCACGAAGGCCAGGGGAGCAAACGGG